AGUCUAAAAUAGUUGCUUAGUUAUUCUGAUAAUCUUGCUUAUACAAUUAUGAUAGUUACGAUAAUCACCUAGGAGUUUCAAUUUUUGAAAGGAAAAAACAACAACAAUCAUUAGGCCCUUAAGAAAUCACGACAUGAGUUCUGAAUCUGACCAGCUACAAGAUAUAUCCUUCCUAAUAUUCAGAUCUAGUGGGAAAAACUACUACCCAACAAUAUACAUACAAUAUAAACUACUACUCAAAUUUGCACUAACAGAAUAGCCAGCUUCUUGAUUUGAGCUCCACGGAGUUUGCUCGUUCGGCUCAACUUCACUGCGGAGUUAAUGGAAGUUGAGAGCCGGAGCAUUGCCGAACAGGCCCUUAGUACAAACUGUUGCCAAACUUGAGAGCAUCAGAGUCAUAAGGUUCAUAACUGAAAGUCAAUAUAACAUGUUAGUUGCAACCUUAUUUGGUUUCACCAUAUCUGAACAUACACAUGCACUUGCUCUCUUUUUGCACCAUGGCACAAAAUUUGUGAUACAAGCAAAAGGAGUUCGCUUCCAUGGUUUUGUUCUGGCGCCAUUCUCAAUGCGCCGUUCAUUCACACGCAAUGGAAUUAUCUAUACCAUUAUAUAUGUACAGGAUGCAUAAUGAAGUAUAAGCAUAAUCUUUCUUUUUGUUAAAAACAUUGGCUUUGUGUACAUAGAUUAAUAAAACAUAUAUCCUAUAAACUCACAUAUGCUUCAAAUUUGUUUCAUAUAAAUUUAAUAAUUUGAUGCAACAAUUCAAUAAUGAGUCAUUCUAACAGAACUUUGAACUUUUAUCGUGUUUGACAAAAUAUCUCAUAGUUUUCUGUACUUUUAAUAGUGUUUCAUUGUGUUUUAGAAUUUGAUUUUUUUAGAACAUGCUGAGACACAUUCAGAAGUGGUGUUGUUUUGAAGUUCUCCUCGUCAUAAUCACAAUAUGCAAACGGAUCAUAAAUUGUACUUUUGGUUUGAAAGAUAAAAUCGUCUUAAAGUUGGAAAUAAAAUAACAAAGAAUGGGAUGGUGGAGCUUGCAUGUGGUCAGAGAAAGAUCUCACAAACUACAAACGGUAUUAAUGCGAAAAGGAUUAAGAAGAUCAAAACCAGCCGAAUAAGAAGAAUAGUAAUACAAAGAGCACCUAGGGGACUCACAUGUGCCUUAUGGCAUGUUCGUUCCCUCACAUCAUAUAUCCCACAUGCUAAAAGUAAUGGAAGUUAACACAAGCAGAUAUAGAAGACAAUGGUCGUUGCAGUUCCUGCCUCAUAUGUGGUUGUCUUGCUGAGAUUUAAAUAAUAUAAGAGGGGAUUAACAAAAUACCUGCAUACUAUAGGGAUUCUCCUCACGGACAUGGAGGAAAGGGGCAUCAGGCACAAGCGCCUUGUGCGGUUCUAGAUAUGGUAGGAUAUCUUCACCCAUAGACGUUGAUAUGUGUACAACCUUCUGCUGCCUCAAAAGCACACGAUGCACAACAUCGAAACAUCCGAACUCUGAAACAAAUCAGAGCAUGCCACAGGAUCCUCGGACAGGGUCAGACACAAAUAAUGUUGUAGGCACGGAAUUUUCCUCAUCCAUAUCUACACAUAACGCAGCAUGUGCACAAAACAACUCACAGUGGGAUAAAAUUUUUGGCUGCAAGUGUUCAGAUAAAAGGCAAAAGAUGCAGUACCUCAGACCAUCCACUAUUUUUAAAGAUUAUAAAACAUCUUCGAGGCAUUCCUCCAACUUAUCCUUAAAUCAUUUCCACCAUCGAAAUUGAAAAUAACUGCAGAACUCAAUAGAUAUAUACUCCAUGUAUAGCUCAACAUGCCCUGCACAGUUCCAUAUGUGUGCUCUCAAGACAACAGGAAAAUAAAAACAUGUCCAUGGAGUUGGAUAGUCAAAGAUACAUAAUAAACCAAAAAGAAUCAGUAGCAAAUCAUGACUAAUGCAGAUGGCCAAGCUAAUUGGGAACGGUUCAUCACAUGGACAAACAUUAAUACAACAUGGAGAGAGAUAAAUUUUCACAAUGAAUCUCUGUGUGCUCAGAUGGCAAAC
rnacentral:lncRNA from 1 species